UAGAGAUGAGCUCGCGUCUGAUUAGCUAGUAGGUGUGGUAAUGGCGCACCUAGGCGACGAUCAGUAACUGGUCUGAGAGGAUGACCAGUCACACUGGGACUGAGACACGGNCCAGACUCCUACGGGAGGCAGCAGUGGGGAAUNUUCCGCAAUGGGCGAAAGCCUGACGGAGCAAUACCGCGUGAGGGAAGAAGGCUCUUGGGUUGUAAACCUCUUUUCUCAGGGAAUAAAAAAAUGAAGGUACCUGAGGAAUAAGCAUCGGCUAACUCCGUGCCAGCAGCCGCGGUAAUACGGAGGAUGCAAGCGUUAUCCGGAAUUAUUGGGCGUAAAGCGUCCGCAGGUGGUUUAUCAAGUCUGCUGUCAAAUCGUAGGGCUUAACCCUAUAAAGGCAGUGGAAACUGAGAGACUAGAGUACGGUAGGGGUAGCGGGAAUUCCCAGUGUAGCGGUGAAAUGCGUAGA
rnacentral:rRNA from 1 species